rnacentral:rRNA from 1 species
GUGCCAGACUCCUACGGGAGGCAGCAGUGGGGAAUAUUGCACAAUGGGGGAAACCCUGAUGCAGCAACGCCGCGUGAAGGAAGACGGUUUUCGGAUUGUAAACUUCUGUUCUUAGUGAAGAAUAAUGACGGUAGCUAAGGAGCAAGCCACGGCUAACUACGUGCCAGCAGCCGCGGUAAUACGUAGGGGGCAAGCGUUAUCCGGAUUUACUGGGUGUAAAGGGAGCGUAGACGGCAGCACAAGUCUGGAGUGAAAUCCCGGGGCUUAACCCCGGAACUGCUUUGGAAACUGUGCGGCUGGAGUGCAGGAGGGGUAAGCGGAAUUCCUAGUGUAGCGGUGAAAUGCGUAGAUAUUAGGGGGAACACCGGUGGCGAAGGCGGCUUACUGGACUGUAACUGACGUUGAGGCUCGAAAGCGUGGGGAGCAAACAGGAUUAGAUACCCGGGUAA